rnacentral:ncRNA from 1 species
UAUCGUGAGGUAGAAUCUGAAGGAAGUUGGAGGCAAAAUCUUGGCUCGACGAACAGAAAUCACAUAUGAAGGCUGUAUAAAUUGGACGAGGCUGCUAAACAAACUGAAGUCCAAUACUACACGAGAUUUAUGCAGUAAAUGUGGCGAUUAGAUGAGAUGAAAGUG